rnacentral:rRNA from 1 species
CAAGAAGGGAGCUUGAUCCAGGCUGUAUCCGCGGUCGGGGGAGUAACACGUGGGUAACCUGCGUAUUAGACUGGGAUAAGUCCGGGAAACUGGAGAUAAUACCGGAUAGUUCCUUGAACUCCAUGGUUCAAAGACGAAGGACGGUUUCGCCUGUCACUUAUCAGAUGGACCCGCGGCGCAUUAGCUAGUUGGUGGGGUAAUGGCUCACCAAGGCGACGAUGCGUAGCCGACCUGAGAGGGUGAUCGGCCACACUGGGACUGAGACACGGCCCAGACUCCUACGGGAGGCAGCAGUAGGGAAUCUUCCGCAAUGGACGAAAGUCUGACGGAGCAACGCCGCGUGAGUGAUGAAGGUUUUCGGAUCGUAAAGCUCUGUUGUUAGGGAAGAACAAGUGCGAGAGUAACUGCUCGCACCUUGACGGUACCUAACCAGAAAGCCACGGCUAACUACGUGCCAGCAGCCGCGGUAAUACGUAGGUGGCAAGCGUUGUCCGGAAUUAUUGGGCGUAAAGGGCUCGCAGGCGGUUUCUUAAGUCUGAUGUGAAAGCCCCCGGCUCAACCGGGGAGGGUCAUUGGAAACUGGGAAACUUGAGUGCAGAAGAGGAGAGUGGAAUUCCACGUGUAGCGGUGAAAUGCGUAGAGAUGUGGAGGAACACCAGUGGCGAAGGCGACUCUCUGGUCUGUAACUGACGCUGAGGAGCGAAAGCGUGGGGAGCGAACAGGAUUAGAUACCCUGGUAGUCCACGCCGUAAACGAUGAGUGCUAAGUGUUAGGGGGUUUCCGCCCCUUAGUGCUGCAGCUAACGCAUUAAGCACUCCGCCUGGGGAGUACGGUCGCAAGACUGAAACUCAAAGGAAUUGACGGGGGCCCGCACAAGCGGUGGAGCAUGUGGUUUAAUUCGAAGCAACGCGAAGAACCUUACCAGGUCUUGACAUCCUCUGACAACCCUAGAGAUAGGGCUUUCCCUUCGGGGACAGAGUGACAGGUGGUGCAUGGUUGUCGUCAGCUCGUGUCGUGAGAUGUUGGGUUAAGUCCCGCAACGAGCGCAACCCUUGAUCUUAGUUGCCAGCAUUUAGUUGGGCACUCUAAGGUGACUGCCGGUGACAAACCGGAGGAAAGUGGGGAUGACGUCAAAUCAUCAUGCCCCUUAUGACCUGGGCUACACACGUGCUACAAUGGACAGAACAAAAGGCUGCGAGACCCCAAGGUUUAGCCCAUCCCUAAAUCUCGUCUCAGUUCCGAACCCAGUCUGCAACUCGACUGCGUGAAACUGGAAUCCCUAUAAUCCCCGAAUCACAUGCCGCCGGGAAAAAAUUCCCCGGGCUUGUAACACCC